AAAUGGCAUUUUUCUAGGUACUUGACAAUUUCUGCCAUGCAUACGAUUUCUAAUUUGCUCUAAUCAACAGAAUAUUUGCAUGUGUGUGGAUUGUAUGUCUAGUUUUGUCUCUAUCUGUGACUACUUUGCUCCUGCGUUUUAGGUAAAGCAUAGAUAAGAGGACACAGGACCUCUUGUUUGGUGAAACCCAUGUCAUUUUCUUCUUAGCAUCGCUAAAAAAAAAAUGAGGCAUCAGAGAGAAUGUGGUAUCUGCAUUUAAACAUUGGAUUUUUUUUUGUAUAGCCAUGUUGUUGUUGCUAAUGCUGUAAUUGCUUCUG
rnacentral:lncRNA from 1 species